rnacentral:misc_RNA from 1 species
CGCAUAUUGCGCCCAUUGGUAUUCCGAUGGGCAUGCCUGUUCGAGCGUCAUUUCAACCCUCAAGCUUCGUUUGCUUGGUGUUGGAGCUUCUGUAGGUGCUUCUGGUACUACAGGCUCUGAAAGGUCUCGGCGGUGUCCUUGUAGGCCCAAACGCAGUAGAUUACUUCUCGUUUCGGGAGCUGUGAGAGCAUCUUAAGCCGUUAAACCCCAUUAUAUAUACAGUUGACCUCGGAUCAGGUAGGAAUACCCGCUGAACUUAA